rnacentral:rRNA from 1 species
CACGUAGGGUGCGAGCGUUGUCCGGAAUUAUUGGGCGUAAAGAGCUCGUAGGCGGUGUGUCGCGUCGGCCGUGAAAACUUGGGGCUUAACUCUGAGCGUGCGGUCGAUACGGGCAUCACUUGAGUUCGGCAGGGGGAGACUGGAAUUCCUGGUGUAGCGGUGAAAUGCGCAGAUAUCAGGAGGAACACCGGUGGCGAAGGCGGACUCUGGCCGAUACUGACGCUGGAGGACGAAAGCUGGGGAGCAAACAGGAUUAGAACCUUACCUGUCAGUCCAAGUCCAU